UGUAGUUGUAGUUCAGUCACUGUAAGCUUUAAGACCUUCAUAGCAUAUGUACAAUGUCGUUCACUCAGCUGAGUGUUUGGAGUUUCUUUCAUUGCAUCUAUCCUCUGCCUAGAUAAUCACCUAGAAGGAAAGAAAAGAAUGUUUGGAAUUUUACUUCAAUUGGUGUAUGCUAAUUAUGUUGAUGAAAUGUAUAUGCAAUGGCAAAUAAGCACUUAUUUCAACAAUUUUAUGGUCCUUGUUUCUGUAAUUAUCUAUAUGCACAUAUGCAAACCGUAUGUUGUCUCUUGACCCCUAGUUGCUAGCAUUUCUCAUCAGGAUCUUACUCUCAGCUACUCUUUCCAUGACAUUUAUCAGGUCUCCUUCAACAUCUCGAAUCCGAGCC
rnacentral:misc_RNA from 1 species